CGUUCGGGUGGGCAGUGCCAGUGCGCUGAAGGGCAAGCCUCAGGGGAAGCUUGUUCCUUAUUUAGUAAGAUUAGCUUGACUAAGGGAGCGAAGGGCGUCACACUGCUUUUGGAAACAGGUGGUGAGGCUGGCGUCGCCAUGUUUUCUAAGGGACUUUCUCAGGAUCAGAUCCAAGAGUGGUCCUUUAGGGCUUUUUUUUUUUUUUUUUGAGACGUUGUCUCGCCCUGUCACCCAGGCUGGAGUGCAGUGGCGCGAUCUCGGCUCAGUGCAACUUCCGUCUCUCGGGUUCAAGCAAUUCUCCUGCCUCAGCCUCCAGGGUAACUGCGAUUACAGGCUCCCGCCACCACGCCAGGCUAAUUUUUGUAUUUUAAGUAGAGACGGGAUUUCACCAUAUUGGCCAGGCUGGUCUUGAACCCCUGACUUCCAGUGAUCCGCCAACCUCAGCCUCCCAAAGGGGCUUUUAAAUGCUGUCGCCCAUUCUAGAAUGCAGCGGCGUGAUCUUGGCUCACUGCAGCCUCGACUUCCCUGGCUCAAGUGAUCCUCCCACCUCAGCCUCCCGAGUUGCUGGGACCACAGGUGCCACACCGCGCCCGCUUAAUUUUUUUUUCUUUAUAUAUAUUUUUUUGUAGUGACGGGGUUUCGAACUCCAGGACUCAACGGAGCCUCCCAUCUCAGACUCUGGGUGAGAUUAUAGGCGUUAACCAUGACUCCCUACCCAGUAUAAACUCAAACACACCAGGCGCAGCAGCUCACGCCUGUAAUCCCAGCACUUUGGGAGGUGAAGGCAGGUGGAUCACCUGAAGUCAGGAGUUCGAGACCAGCCUGGCCAACAUGGCGAAAUCCCGUCUCUACUAACAAUAACAAAAAUUAGCUGGGCGUGGUGGCAGGCGCCUGUAAUACCAGAGAUUCAGGAGGCUGAGGCAGGAGAAUCGCUUGAACCCAGGAGGUGGAGGUUGCAGCCAGCCAAGAUCGUGCCAUUGCACUCCAGCUGGGGCAACAAGAGUGAAACUCUGUCUCAAAAAAACAAAAACAAAAGCAAAUAAAAUAUUGCUGGGCGCGGUGGCUCACACCUGUAAUCCCAGCAGUUUGGGAGGCCAAGGCGGGCGGAUCACUUGAGGUCAGGAGUUUGAAACCAGCCUGGCCAACAUGGUAAAAACCUUUUCUCUACUAAAAAUACAAAAAAAUUAGCCCAGCGUGGCA
rnacentral:lncRNA from 10 species